rnacentral:rRNA from 1 species
AUUGAACGCUGGCGGCAGGCCUAACACAUGCAAGUCGAGCGAGCGGCGGACGGGUGAGUAAUGUCUGGGAAACUGCCUGAUGGAGGGGGAUAACUACUGGAAACGGUAGCUAAUACCGCAUACCAUCGGAUGUGCCCAGAUGGGAUUAGCUAGUAGGUGGGGUAAUGGCUCACCUAGGCGACGAUCCCUAGCUGGUCUGAGAGGAUGAGCAGCCAAACUGGAACGGAGACACGGCCCAGACUCCGACGGGAGGCAGCAGUGGGGAAUAUUGCACAAUGGGCGCAAGCCUGAUGCAGCCAUGCCGCGUGGGUGAAGAAGGCCUUCGGGUUGUAAAGCACUUUCAGCGAGGAGGCGUUACUCGCAGAAGAAGCACCGGCUAACUCCGUGCCAGCAGCCGCGGUAAUAC